rnacentral:lncRNA from 1 species
GGUAAAGAGCCUGUGUUUAUUCUGCAGUUGGGAGACCCCUAGAGGGUUUUCAGCACGGGAGGGCCAUGUCUGAUUUAUGUGUCUAAAAGGCCAGUCUGCAAGCAUAGGGUUGACUGGAGAGAGAGGAGCGUGGAAUUGGGCACCAAUGAGAAAGAUUGUUCUGGGGUUAUCCUGGUAUCUGAGGUGGGUGCAGGGAAGGUCUCCAACUCUUCAGGCCACAUCGGGUCUAGACCAUGAAGGUAACCAGGGAGGCUCCUGGGAAAAUCUGUCAUCAGACUCCAUCUGGGGUGGGAGUGGAGAUGGGGGCUGCUGAUGAAGUCAGAGAAGAGGCAGCCUCCUGCCCUGGACUUCCAGAAGGCUCUGCUGUUCACUGUUCCUCAAGACACAUACACACUCACAAACCUGCUGGGGGAUUAGCAAACUGGAGAUUAGGGAAGGAUAAUAAUUGAACCACCUGCUAUUUAUAUAUAGCACCUUUGGCAAAGGCGCUCAGCAGGGCUUCCCUCACCUCUCCCCCUGGAGGGGGCCCUGACCCUUGUUCUCUGUCCACAUAAAAAUCAUCCUUGGCCAACCUCAAGGCUGAGAAGCCAUUGAGACCCACGGGCCAUGGGUAGACUGAUGCGAGGGGCAACUUGUCUGAGGCCACACAGAGAGAUUAUGGCAGAUAAUUGACAUGAAUCAGCCACCCGCACAGCAGGAGGUCUGUGCCGCCCUGCGUUAAAAUCUAACUGCCCUCACACAUGUUCACUCAUGCACUCAGCAAUCUUAAGCAUCUGCUAGGUGCCAGGCACUGGGAAUGAAGGUGGGUCUCUAUGAACCUGUGCUUCAAUCCAUCCCACUUCAUAAUCGCCUCUCCACAGGCCUCCAUCCAACCACAGCUGCACAGGCAUCAGAGCUUUGGUUCUACAACGUGAGCUGAUACCAGUAGCCCCUGGAGGGAUUGUUAAAACACUGAUUCCAGGGCCCUAGCCGUGGAGUGUCUGAUUCAGUAGGCCUUAGGUAAGGUCUGAAAAUCUGCGUUUCUAACAAGGUCCCAGGUGAUACUGACGCUACUGAUUCAGGGAUCACACUUUGAGAACAGCUGAAUAGACUGCCAUUCAAGCCAAGGUGGGACUCCUUUGUAAGCCUGGCCCCAGUUUCCGUGUUGGUUAGUCUGUCCAUCCCUGUGGUUUCUGUCCUCCCCUUAGGGCGAAGGCAGAGGGCAGGACAGCGCUUGCUGUAGAGACUGUAGCCAGUGCUCUGAUGCCUAGGGGCUGUGACAGAUCACUAAACCCAGGGGAGCUUUGCUGUAAUUAGUGCUUUCCUGGGGAAGUCAGGGAUUGAGCAACGCGGCAGGCAGGCAGGCAGCUCAUAGGAGCCCAUAAGGGGUGGGACCACGCUGUCGGGCCCUAAACACUGUUCUCAGGCUCUGGGGAUCUAGCUCUACCCAGAGCUGAGCCCUCCCCAACACCUCUGGGUGGGCGUCCCUGUACUGGUGGUGUUGCAGGGGCAGAGAGCUGAUUGCCUCAGCCAUCACGGAGAGACCUGGGUUUGAGUGCUGACUGCCUAAUAGUACUAAUCAUAGGAGUGUGUGUUAAGCCCCAGGCCUGAAGCGUUUCAGCACAUUAUCUCAUGAUGCCUCCCUGUGAUUAUCUUACGUGGACACAAUUCUUAUCACAUAUGUCAUAUAUUGUAUAUCCUAUGUAUAUCAUAUAUAUGUCAUAUAUCCUCUAUACACAUCAUACAUCCAUGUAUAUAUAUCUAUCAUAUACAUGUCAUAUACCUACAUAUAUUAUAUAUCCAUAUCCAUGCCACAUACUCAU